rnacentral:lncRNA from 1 species
CUCAGCUGGUGCUCAACUAUUGGUUUGGGCUGUGACCUGGCAAUUCCACUGCAGGGAGCUACAGUAAAGAAGGGAAUGGGCUCUUUAUCAGGUUCUGCUGUGAUAAAACAAGGGUAAAUGAUUUCAAGCUUAAUUAAGUUAGAAAUAAGGGAAAAGUCUUAGAGUUAGCAUGGUGAGGCACAAGAACAGGUUGCCGAGGGAAGUGGUGGAUGCCCCAUUCCUGGAGGCUUUCAAUGCAAGGCUGGAUCAGGCUCUCAGCAACCUGAUGUGCCUGUGGAUGUCCCUGUUCAUUGUAGGGGAGUUGGACUAGAUGACCUUUAAAGGUCCCUUCCAACUCUAAGGAUUCUAUGAUUCUAUUCUAUGACAACACUAUUCAAAAGAUUGUUGAGAGUGGCAUAAGCUGUACUGAUUGCCUACUGAUUCCAUAACUGAGCAAAAUGAUGCCUGGUCAUGUGACCAUCAGAGAUUGGCUGAUGCACCACAGCAGCUUUGAAGGCAGGAGCUCCGCGGCAGGUGAAUAAAGUACCCCUAAAGCCUCCAUCCCAUUCUCUCCACCUCUUAACCUUCCUCCUUGCCACCUCUAUGGACCUCAAGCAGUUGACUGAGAGUAGAUGCUUCCCAUCAAGGCUGGUUCAGCAGGUUCAUCUGUUUGUCUGCCACACAACAGCUUGGGAACGAUGCAUUUGCUUAAUUAAAAGUGUUGGAGACUAUUCCAGAUGCUCCCAGCCAAGGAAAAUGAGAAUGACAGCAAUGGGAAACACAAAGAGCCUUCAUCAUUUUCUUGUUGCUCCCACCACUCUCUCCUAAGUCAAAGGUUUGGCUGACAACAUUCAUUAACACUUUCUGAAAUAACAGUAUCACUCCCUCAUCAUUUUCUAUUCCAUCUUCCCAAUGGAGCUUACUAUGGCAUCUCCCCACAAACAUCUUACUUUCCAAAAUAAUGGUAGGAAGGAAGUGGAAGUUGAGGGACACAAAUGUAGGCCUUCUCAGGAAAACACAGGCUGUAGGCUUGGGUAGCAGAAUAAAUGACCAGAGUACAUAUUUUUGUCGAAAUGU